rnacentral:rRNA from 1 species
GUGCCACCCCCCGCGGUAAUACGGAGGGUGCAAGCGUUAAUCGGAAUUACUGGGCGUAAAGCGCACGCAGGCGGUCCGUCAAGUCGGAUGUGAAAUCCCCGGGCUCAACCUGGGAACUGCAUUCGAAACUGGCUGGCUAGAGUCUUGUAGAGGGGGGUAGAAUUCCAGGUGUAGCGGUGAAAAGCGUAGAGAUCUGGAGGAAUACCGGUGGCGAAGGCGGCCCCCUGGACAAAGACUGACGCUCAGGUGCGAAAGCGUGGGGAGCAAACAGGAUUAGAUACCCUGGUAGUCCACGCCGUAAACGAUGUCGACUUGGAGGUUGUGCCCUUGAGGCGUGGCUUCCGGAGCUAACGCGUUAAGUCGACCGCCUGGGGAGUACGGCCGCAAGGUUAAAACUCAAAUGAAUUGACGGGGGCCCGCACAAGCGGUGGAGCAUGUGGUUUAAUUCGAUGCAACGCGAAGAACCUUACCUACUCUUGACAUCCAGAGAACUUUCCAGAGAUGGAUUGGUGCCUUCGGGAACUCUGAGACAGGCGCUGCAUGGCUGUCGUCAGCUCGUGUUGCGAAAUGUUGGGUUUAAGUCCCG